AGCGAACGCUGGCGGCAGGCUUAACACAUGCAAGUCGAGCGGACCUUUCGGGGUCAGCGGCGGACGGGUGAGUAACGCGUGGGAACGUGCCUUCCGGUUCGGAAUAACCCUGGGAAACUAGGGCUAAUACCGGAUACGCCCUUAUGGGGAAAGGUUUACUGCCGGAAGAUCGGCCCGCGUCUGAUUAGCUAGUUGGUGGGGUAACGGCCUACCAAGGCGACGAUCAGUAGCUGGUCUGAGAGGAUGAUCAGCCACACUGGGACUGAGACACGGCCCAGACUCCUGCGGGAGGCAGCAGUGGGGAAUAUUGGACAAUGGGCGCAAGCCUGAUCCAGCCAUGCCGCGUGAGUGAUGAAGGCCUUAGGGUUGUAAAGCUCUUUUAUCCGGGACGAUAAUGACGGUACCGGAGGAAUAAGCCCCGGCUAACUUCGU
rnacentral:rRNA from 1 species